CCCAACUAAGAUAAAAACACAGUUCUGGUUGGUAAGUCCAGACACGUAGGCAAGCCUAUCAGUAACCUAAGGAUAUGAAUAGAAAUGAAGAGUAGUCCAUCAAGGCUACUCUUUUUCGUCAAAAGAAC
rfam:Streptococcus thermophilus CNCM I-1630 Contig0415, whole genome shotgun sequence.